CCUACGGGUGGCAGCAGUGGGGAAUAUUGGGCAAUGGGCGCAAGCCUGACCCAGCAACGCCGCGUGAAGGAAGAAGGCUUUCGGGUUGUAAACUUCUUUUCUCAGGGACGAAGCAGGUGACGGUACAUGAGGAAUAAGCAACGUCUAACUACGUGCCAGCCGCCGCGGUAAUACGUAGGUGGCAAGCGUUAUCCGGAUUUACUGGGGGUAAGGGCGUGUAGGGGGGAAAGCAAGUCAGAUGUGAAAACCACGGGCUCAACCUGUGGCCUGCAUUUGAAACUGUGUUUCUUGAGGACUGGAGAGGCAGACGGAAUUCCUAGUGGAGCGGUGAAAUGCGUAGAUAUUAUGAGGAACACCAGUGGCGAAGGCGGUCUGCUGGACAGCAACUGACGCUGAGGCGCGAAAGCGUGGGGAGCAAACAGGAUUAGAUACCCUAGUAGUC
rnacentral:rRNA from 1 species